UGUGAUGUGAAAACAGCCCCAAUGUCAGCCA
rnacentral:piRNA from 1 species